UACGUAGGGUGCAAGCGUUGUCCGGAAUUAUUGGGCGUAAAGAGCUUGUAGGCGGUUUGUCGCGUCUGCUGUGAAAUUUCGGGGCUCAACCCCGAACUUGCAGUGGGUACGGGCAGACUAGAGUGUGGUAGGGGAGACUGGAAUUCCUGGUGUAGCGGUGAAAUGCGCAGAUAUCAGGAGGAACACCGAUGGCGAAGGCAGGUCUCUGGGCAACUCCUGACGCUGAGGCGCGAAAGCGUGGGGAGCAAACGGG
rnacentral:rRNA from 1 species